rnacentral:rRNA from 1 species
CCUACGGGAGGCAGCAGUGGGGGAUAUUGGACAAUGGGCGGAACCCUGAUCCAGCGACGCCGCGUGAGUGAAGAAGUAUUUCGGUAUGUAAAGCUCUGUCAGCAGGGAAGAAAGAAAUGACGGUACCUGACCAAGAAGCUCCGGCUAACUACGUGCCAGCAGCCGCGGCAAUACGUAGGGGGCAAGCGUUAUCCGGAAUUACUGGGUGUAAAGGGAGCGUAGACGGUUAAGUAAGUCUGGAGUGAAAGGCCGGGGCCCAACCCCGGGACUGCUCUGGAUACUAGUGAACUUGAGUUCAGGAGAGGUAAGCGGAAUUCCAAGUGUAGCGGUGAAAUGCGUAGAGAUUAGGAGGAACACCAGUGGCGAAGGCGGCUUACUGGACUGUAACUGACGUUGAGGCUCGAAAGCGUGGGGAGCAAACAGGAUUAGAUACCCGAGUAGUC